AUGGUGGUGAAGAGCGGAGGAGGAGGCGGCGGCGCGGAGGAGGGGGCCGCGGGCGCGGCGGUGCGGCGGUGGGUGGAGGCCGGCGGCGGGAGGCUGGUGCUGGACGGCGGGCUGGCCACGGAGCUCGAGGCCCACGGCGCCGACCUCAACGACCCGCUCUGGAGCGCCAAGUGCAUCCUCUCCUCCCCGCACCUCAUCCGCAAGGUCCACUUAGACUACAUAGAAGCAGGUGCAAACAUUAUAAUUACAGCAUCAUAUCAGGCUACCAUUCAAGGGUUUGAGUCCAAGGGAUUUUCAAAAGAACAAGGUGAAAAUUUACUAACAAAGAGUGUUGAGAUUGCAUGUGAAGCACGUGAGAUGUUUCUGAAGCAGCAUCCAGAUCAAUCCACUCCCUUGCGUCCUAUUCUGGUUGCAGCUUCAAUAGGAAGUUAUGGGGCUUAUCUUGCUGAUGGCUCUGAGUACAGUGGGGAUUACGGUGAAGCUGGGACACUAGAAUUCCUGAAAGAUUUUCAUCGGCGGAGACUUCAGGUUCUUGCAGAAGCACGUCCUGAUUUGAUUGCUUUUGAAACAAUCCCUAACAAAUUGGAAGCUCAGGCAUAUGUUGAACUUCUUGAGGAAUGCAACAUAAAUAUCCCUUCAUGGUUUUCCUUCAACUCAAAAGAUGGAGUUAAUGUUGUUAGUGGAGACUCGUUAGUCGAAUGUGCUAAAAUUGCUAAUGAAUGUGCAAAGGUUGGUGCAGUUGGUAUAAACUGCACACCUCCAAGAUUUAUUCAUAGCUUGAUACUCUCCAUUCGGAAGGUCACAGACAAGCCAAUUCUGAUAUAUCCCAACAGUGGAGAAAGAUACGAUGCUGAGAAAAAGGAGUGGGUGGAAUCCACUGGUGUGUCAGACGGCGAUUUCGUUUCAUAUGUAGGCGAGUGGUGCAAAGAUGGGGCUGCCCUUAUUGGGGGCUGCUGCAGGACAACUCCAAACACCAUCAGGGCAAUAACUAGAUCCCUUAACCAAUACUACCCAGCAGCAUAG
rnacentral:rRNA from 1 species